GAUGAUGUAGUUCAGUGGUAGACCACAUUUCUAGCAAGCAUGAGGUCCUAGGUUCAAUCCCUAGUACCACA
rnacentral:tRNA from 1 species